rnacentral:rRNA from 1 species
AGAGUUGAUCCUGGCUUAGGACGAACGCUGGCGGCAUGCCUAACACAUGCAAGUCGAACGGAAGUAGAAAUACUUUAGUGGCGAACGGGUGAGUAACACGUGAGCAACCUGCCUUAUACACAGGGAUAACAGUUGGAAACGACUGCUAAUACCGGAUAAGACCACACUAUGGCAUCAUAGAGGGUCAAAGCGAAUAAGCGGUAUAAGAUGGGCUCGCGUCCAAUUAGCUAGUUGGUGAGGUAACGGCCCACCAAGGCGACGAUUGGUAGCCGACUUGAGAGAGUGAUCGGCCACACUGGAACUGAGACACGGUCCAGACUCCUACGGGAGGCAGCAGUGGGGAAUAUUGGGCAAUGGAGGAAACUCUUACCCAGCAAAUGCCGCGUGAGUGAUGAAGGUCUUUGGAUUGUAAAGCUCUUUGAUUGGGGACGAAUAAAUGACGGUACCCAAAGAACAAGCCCCGGCUAACUAUGUGCCAGCAGCAGC